rnacentral:lncRNA from 1 species
UGAUGUUUUAUGAAUUUAUUUGUUUCAUUCAGAUAUUACCUUCCUGACCAUCAUAAUAAGAAACUAUAAAUAGACAUAUUAAACAAAUAUUUUUACCAUCAGCAACAAAAGACCUGCAACAGACUUAUUAACAAAUUAUAAAUAUGGUAAUAAAGAGAAUAAAUAUGAAGUUUCAGACCUAAAAUACCACAGUCUUAGCUGCAUAUCGUAAUUAUAAUUGUAACUAUUUCCAGAAUUUUUUUUAAAUUCAUGUCAAAGUUGUGAUGAAAAACUUCAAAAGUGUAAAUACUGAUAUCUGUAAGACCUGAACAAUGUUGUUUUGUGAUCUAUAAUACUUUUUGAUUUUUGAAUUCAAGGAGCCAAAAUUGUUGCCAUAACAUACCUUUCUUCAUCUUCAUCUUCUAAUUCCUAUGUAAGUCAUGAUAAUGCACACAGAAUUUAAUUUCUGAUUAAUUUUUUUUUACACUCUUUGUCUUUCAACACCCAAACUGAGAUUAAUAACAGCAAAAACAGCUGUAGCACACAUAUAUAUAUUUUAAAGUCUACAAUAUUUAACAAGAAACAAAACUAAAAACAAAUAAUGAAAAAAAAAACAUAAAUUAUCUUUCAACAUUUUAAGCACAAUUAUUGGAAAUAAAAUACAAAUGUUUUAAGUACAUAUAAAAUACAAAUGAAAUCAUAUAAUUUAUCACAGAUAAUAAAUGUGGACUUUUGAAUCAAAGUUACCUACUGAAAAAGAGGGAGGGCUGGGAAUUAGAUUUUAAGUAAGGUGGGUGAUAUGUGAACCAAUUUCUAUAUUAGGCAUAUGUAAUUUUCUAUUUGUGGGAAUUUGAGAAAUACAGGUGUGCCCAAUCCCUCAGGUAUAUUUAAAUAAAAAAAGCCCAUGGUCAAAUAAGAUAUUUAAGUGGACUUUCAUCGAUCCAUUCUUAGUGUCAACUCAAAGCAUGAUUUUUUUUGUUGUGCAAGAUGUUAAACACCCCAAACUAACUAAAUAGUCCUUUUUUAUUAAGUACAAAAUAAUGUAUAUGAACUCAUGUUUUUGAAAAAUUCAUGUUUAUGAAUGUUUUCAAUGUUGUGACUCUUUUUUUUCCCAUAACACACAUUUUCCUUUUCAUAUAAGACUUCGAAAGAACACAAAAGGUCAUUUACCAAAAUUAAAGUAGAUUCUGGAUUUUUUUCUUUCCAGAUGAGACCCAAAUCAUACCAAUUUGAAUAUUAAGUAAAAGUCUGAGUCAGCCUUUUCCCGCCAUUUAAACAAACAUUAAUAUCUCAAAAAGGAGCUCCAUAACCUAUUGAUAUUUUUAGCAUAUUAUAUUCCUUAAUUAAUGGUCUUCUGACUUUUAGUAUAAAUUUCAAAUACUAGAUUAUCUUAAAUUUCACCUAAGCAUGCUAAGUACAUCCUUAGCUGAAAAUAUGAUGCAAAAAACUAUAUCUGCAUUAUUUUGGUUAAAAAAUUGUAGGAUAUCAUAUAAGAAAUGGUAUGAUUAAGAGUAAGACAAAACAUCUUAAUAAUAA